rnacentral:misc_RNA from 1 species
GCAAACUUGGUCAUUUAGAGGAAGUAAAAGUCGUAACAAGGUUUCCGUAGGUGAACCUGCGGAAGGAUCAUUAGAGAAUGCCUGGGGACCCUGGGGGGGUGACUCCCCUCGGGCUCCCUGAAACCCUGCCUGGACCUCUGGCCUCGCUGUGCCACUGUGGCCGGCCUAGUCUUGGGACUCCAGGUGCUAAGUCUGUUUUCACAAACUCAAAACUGUCUGAUAGUGGCCAUUGGAAUUAGAAGAAAACUUUCAACAACGGAUCUCUUGGUUCUGGCAUCGAUGAAGAACGCAGC